AUUGAACGCUGGCGGCAUGCCUUACACAUGCAAGUCGAACGGCAGCACGGGGCAACCUGGUGGCGAGUGGCGAACGGGUGAGUAAUGCAUCGGAACGUACCUUUCAGUGGGGGAUAACGUAGCGAAAGUUACGCUAAUACCGCAUAUUCUGUGCGCAGGAAAGCAGGGGAUCGCAAGACCUUGCGCUGAUUGAGCGGCCGAUAUCAGAUUAGCUAGUUGGUGAGGUAAAGGCUCACCAAGGCGACGAUCUGUAGCGGGUCUGAGAGGAUGAUCCGCCACACUGGAACUGAGACACGGUCCAGACUCCUACGGGAGGCAGCAGUGGGGAAUUUUGGACAAUGGGCGCAAGCCUGAUCCAGCCAUGCCGCGUGAGUGAAGAAGGCCUUCGGGUUGUAAAGCUCUUUCGGCCGGGAAGAAAUCGUAUGGGUUAAUACCCUGUGCGGAUGACGGUACCGGCAUAAGAAGCACCGGCUAACUACGUGCCAGCAGCCGCAGUAAUAC
rnacentral:rRNA from 1 species